AAAAUGAUGAAUGAAAAACGCGAGGAGCGGGGUCUGAAGUCUUUUGUUGGUCACACAUACAUGCAUCUACCGUUGGAUUGCGUUGAACCGAGUCUACCCAUCUCUCUCGUUCUACCAUGAUUGUUCUGCUAUCGCACUCAUCCGGGUGUUAGGCAUUCUCAGUCUGUCCAGAACUUUCGUUGUGGAAGGAUGUGCGGGAGUGAUGUGCGAUUUCUUGUGUCCCCUACUUUCCAUGUUUACGUUUUGCGCAGUGUUGCUUCUUAUUCCAUUGUGGAAUGAUUUAUCCUAGCUAACUUGUUGAGUUACAGGUGCAUGCGCCAUUCAUCAACGCCUACCUGUUGGCAUCAUCAACAAUCUUCAAAGUUUUGACGGAAAGAAAUUGUUUUCCAGUUUUAAAAUAUUAAGCGUUCAGCACAACUCAGCCACAAAACAACGCACUGGAUUACGCUAAGAACCUGUCAAAACGCGCGCAGCCCCCGGGCGCGGUAGGAGAAAGGAAAAACGAGAGGAGGAAAAACUAAAGCCAGCGCUCAGCUCUGAUGGUACCCCGGACGCGGUAAGGAGAAAAAAGAUCGAGAGGAGGAAGAACGGUAAAUUUGGAAGGGGGAGACCGUUCUGCCGUCUACAAAGUGUGAGUAUGCCAAAGCACGUGUUGGAACGGAGAGAAAAUGUGUGGAAUAAACUACAUGCGAAUGUGUACAUACACCAAAUGUAAACAUGUGUGCCUCAUCAUUUCUAUGAGCAAUCCGAAAAGGGGGUGGAGCAAACACAUUGGUAUGCAUGAGGUGCAGAAAAAAUCAGAGCGUGAUAGUAUGUGUGAACGCGAUCGUUCGGGUGGAAGGUGUCUAUGUGUGCGUGAAACAUUUCCAUUUCUACUGCAAGUGGGUACCCAAGGACGCAAAAACCGACGGCGGCCUGUGUAAUCUGAGUUCUCUACAAAGCUCUCUACGAAGCUCUCGUUUGCAGGCUUGUCGAGAGCAUCGCUAAAGGCGCCCGAACCAUCCGUCACGCACACAUCUAAACGUUCUGGUUUCGUCAGCCGCUCACGCAUACCAAUGUGUU